UGGGGGAAUAUUGCACAAUGGGCGAAAGCCUGAUGCAGCGACGCCGCGUGAGGGAUGACGGCCUUCGGGUUGUAAACCUCUUUCAGCAGGGAAGAAGCGAAAGUGACGGUACCUGCAGAAGAAGCGCCGGCUAACUACGUGCCAGCAGCCGCGGUAAUACGUAGGGCGCAAGCGUUGUCCGGAAUUAUUGGGCGUAAAGAGCUCGUAGGCGGUUAGUCGCGUCUGCUGUGAAAAUCUCGAGGCUCAACCUCGGGCUUGCAGUGGGUACGGGCUGACUAGAGUGCGGUAGGGGUGACUGGAAUUCCUGGUGUAGCGGUGGAAUGCGCAGAUAUCAGGAGGAACACCGAUGGCGAAGGCAGGUCACUGGGCCGCAACUGACGCUGAGGAGCGAAAGCAUGGGGAGCGAACAGGAUUAGAUACCCUGGUAGUCCAUGCCGUAAACGUUGGGCACUAGGUGU
rnacentral:rRNA from 1 species